rnacentral:rRNA from 1 species
UAUCGGAUUGAUACUAAGCCAUGCGAGUCAUUGCAGUAAUGCAAGGCAGACGGCUCAGUAACGCGUAGUCAACCUACCCUAUGGACGGGAAUAACCUCGGGAAACUGAGUAUAAUGCCCGAUAGAACACUAUUCCUGGAAUGGUUUGUGUUCCAAAUGAUUUAUCGCCGUAGGAUGGGACUGCGGCCUAUCAGUUUGUUGGUGAGGUAAUGGCCCACCAAGACUAUUACAGGUACGGGCUCUGAGAGGAGUAGCCCGGAGAUGGGUACUGAGACACGGACCCAGGCCCUAUGGGGCGCAGCAGGCGAGAAAACUUUGCAAUGUGCGAAAGCACGACAAGGUUAAUCCGAGUGGUUUGUGCUAAACGAACCUUUUGACAGUCCUAGAAACACUGUUGAAUAAGGGGUGGGCAAGUUCUGGUGUCAGCCGCCGCGGUAAAACCAGCACCUCAAGUGGUCAGGAUGAUUAUUGGGCCUAAAGCAUCCGUAGCCGGCUCUGUAAGUUUUCGGUUAAAUCUGUACGCUCAACGUACAGGCUGCCGGGAAUACUGCAGAGCUAGGGAGUGGGAGAGGUAGACGGUACUCGGUAGGAAGGGGUAAAAUCCUUUGAUCUAUUGAUGACCACCUGUGGCGAAGGCGGUCUACCAGAACACGUCCGACGGUGAGGGAUGAAAGCUGGGGGAGCAAACCGGAUUAGAUACCCGGGUAGUCCCAGCUGUAAACUAUGCAAACUCAGUGAUGCAUUGGCUUGUGGCCAAUGCAGUGCUGCAGGGAAGCCGUUAAGUUUGCCGCCUGGGAAGUACGUACGCAAGUAUGAAACUUAAAGGAAUUGGCGGGGGAGCACCACAAGGGGUGAAGCCUGCGGUUCAAUUGGAGUC